rnacentral:tRNA from 1 species
UCCUCGGUAGCUCAGUGGCAGAGCAUCCGGCUGUUAACCGGACGGUCGCUGGUUCGAAUCCAGCCCGGGGAG